rnacentral:rRNA from 1 species
UGGGGAAUCUUAGACAAUGGGGGAAACCCUGAUCUAGCCAUGCCGCGUGAGCGAUGAAGGCCUUAGGGUUGUAAAGCUCUUUCAGCUGGGAAGAUAAUGACGGUACCAGCAGAAGAAGCCCCGGCUAACUCCGUGCCAGCAGCCGCGGUAAUACGGAGGGGGCUAGCGUUGUUCGGAAUUACUGGGCGUAAAGCGCACGUAGGCGGAUUAGUCAGUCAGAGGUGAAAUCCCAGGGCUCAACCCUGGAACUGCCUUUGAUACUGCUAGUCUUGAGGUCGAGAGAGGUGAGUGGAAUUCCGAGUGUAGAGGUGAAAUUCGUAGAUAUUCGGAGGAACACCAGUGGCGAAGGCGGCUCACUGGCUCGAUACUGACGCUGAGGUGCGAAAGCGUGGGGAGCAAAACAGGAUUAGAUACCCUGGUAGUCCACGCCGUAAAACGAUGAAUGCCAGUCGUCGGGUUGCAUGC